rnacentral:lncRNA from 1 species
CUAAUGUUAAGCAGGUAGUAGUAACACCUGCAUAUAAUUUUGUUUGGAUGCCAUAAGGCUUCCCAUAAUCUUCCUGAUCUUACAGUAAGGUUAAGCUUAGGAGGGGUUGAACCCACUAGCUUACCCUUAAAAUGGAAGUUUUAACUGUUAUCCAUUGUUUUUUCUUAUUUUUUUAGGCCAUUCCAUCCAUGAAAACAUGGUUUAUGAGUACAUUGGAUAUUUUGACAUACUGGACAAGCAACCGCUGAAUUUCUUCCAUUGUUCCCAGGGACUUUUCUUAAUAAUUGGUCAUCUAAGUUUAUCGAUACACAAUGGGAUCUCACCAGCCCGAGUUAAAUAAUAUUUCCAGUGAGCAUGACUUGACCCUGUGCCUGGUUACCGAGCAGUCUCUCUAAAUCUCUACUUGAUGCCUCUUGUGCGUGCUUCAGGUCACCAGUAGCACAGAAGCCCAUGUGAGUAUCCCUAGCAAACAUCAAAAAGACAUUCCAAAUAAUGUCAAAAUUUUGACUUUUUUGCUUGACUGAGAUAUUUUUGAUGUGUAGUAUUUUAAUUCAGUACUUUUCUUCAAUUUAUCAUUAAUACAAUAGUAAAGCCUGUAACUAUAAUACAGAAAGUAGGUAUAUAAUUUUACUCAGGGUCUUUAAAGCAUUUUAUUAAGUUGAAAUUAGUACCACGCAGUUGUUUUCAUCAUAGAAGGGCAAGAAAACUCUAAGAGAACCACGUCUAAUAGCCCUGACUCUAGACUUUGUGAAGCUCAGUCUGAUUUAAAUGCUUUUCAAGAUGCUACCCUGUACACAGACAAUUUAAAUGUGUGAUAAUAAUCCAGUUGUGUGUGGUUAUGCUACUACUAUGACCACGUGAUGGCACAGACACUAGGGACAAAUAUAAAAGUGGUGAUGCACAUCGGCUCAGGAGUCAGACUUCCUGGGUUCAGAUCCUGGCUGUGUCUUACUCAUUGUGUGAUGCUGAACACAUUUAGCAUCUCUGUGAAAUGGCGUGGACAGUGGUCCCCACCUCCCCGGGCUGUCAUGAGGCUUAGAGGAGAUAGUGCAUGCAUAGCACUUAGCACAGGGCCUGCAAUUCAUAAGUGCAAAGGAUUACCAGUUAAGUGGCCAAUAUUACUUAUGCAUUAUUUUUAAAAAGCAAAAUGGGACAGAAUUGUACAUUAAUUGAUGCAGAUUUUCUUUUCUAGACCAAUUCAGUAUCACAAUUUCACUAACAUUUUCUGCUAACUUUUUAUUUUGAAAAUUUUCAAACUUACAGAAAAGUUGAACGAACAGUACAAUGAAGAUCUGUGUAUGCCCUUCAUCUAAAUUUGCCAAUUAUUGAUAUGUUGCUACAUUUACUUUCUCUGUUUAUACACAAGUAUACACACACUCCCAGACAUCUAACUAAAUACAGCUUUUCUUGAAGUUCUGAAAAGUAUUUAAUCUGUCUUUAUCUAACUCUUCUCAUUUUC